UGGGGAAUUUUGGACAAUGGGCGAAAGCCUGAUCCAGCAAUGCCGCGUGUGUGAAGAAGGCCUUCGGGUUGUAAAGCACUUUUGUCCGGAAAGAAAUCCUUGGCUCUAAUACAGUCGGGGGAUGACGGUACCGGAAGAAUAAGCACCGGCUAACUACGUGCCAGCAGCCGCGGUAAUACGUAGGGUGCAAGCGUUAAUCGGAAUUACUGGGCGUAAAGCGUGCGCAGGCGGUUUGCUAAGACCGAUGUGAAAUCCCCGGGCUCAACCUGGGAACUGCAUUGGUGACUGGCAGGCUAGAGUAUGGCAGAGGGGGGUAGAAUUUCACGUGUAGCAGUGAAAUGCGUAGAGAUGUGGAGGAAUACCGAUGGCGAAGGCAGCCCCCUGGGCCAAUACUGACGCUCAUGCACGAAAGCGUGGGGAGCAAACAGGAUUAGAUACCCUGGUAGUCCACGCCCUAAACGAUGUCAACUAGUUGUUGGGGAUUCAUUCCUUAGUAACGUAGCUAACGCGUGAAGUUGACCGCCUGGGGAGUACGGUCGCAAGAUUAAAACUCAAAGGAAUUGACGGGGUCAUAGCUGUUUCCU
rnacentral:rRNA from 1 species